rnacentral:piRNA from 1 species
UGCCAGCAUGUGCCAGGCCAGUCCUCUGU